GUGACUUGUUAGGUGCUUCGAGAGACAGUACAACACCGUGUGAUUAGUGGAUGGAACAGUGUCGUAGGUGCAGUUACCCUGAAGGACUUGUGACUAGUGACUAUAAAAGCAACCUAAGCGUAAGUGAUAGCUAUAUUGACUGAACGGUGCUUUACUUGUUGCCGGGGUGGCGGCGGCGGUAUUGCCAGCGAGAGGUGACCACAUAAGUGACGCGACCUCCUGUUCCCGAUGGCCUCUUCAUUCAAGGGGCGGCAGAGUCACCUCCUUCAGUCUCUCCUCGUUUUUGCUCUCACCCCCGUGCGUGGCCUGGCAGGGGAGCAAG